rnacentral:rRNA from 1 species
AUUGAACGCUGGCGGAAUGCUUUACACAUGCAAGUCGAACGGCAGCACGGGGGCAGCCCUGGUGGCGAGUGGCGAACGGGUGAGUAAUACAUCGGAACGUGCCCGGUCGUGGGGGAUAACGUAGCGAAAGUUACGCUAAUACCGCAUACGAUCUGAGGAUGAAAGCGGGGGACCUUCGGGCCUCGCGCGAUCGGAGCGGCCGACGUCAGAUUAGGUAGUUGGUGGGGUAAAGGCCUACCAAGCCGACGAUCUGUAGCUGGUCUGAGAGGACGACCAGCCACACUGGGACUGAGACACGGCCCAGACUCCUACGGGAGGCAGCAGUGGGGAAUUUUGGACAAUGGGCGCAAGCCUGAUCCAGCCAUUCCGCGUGCAGGACGAAGGCCUUCGGGUUGUAAACUGCUUUUGUACGGAACGAAAAGGCUCUGGCUAAUACCUGGGGCUCAUGACGGUACCGUAAGAAUAAGCACCGGCUAACUACGUG